rnacentral:rRNA from 1 species
GACGAACGCUGGCGGCGUGCUUAACACAUGCAAGUCGAACGGAAAGGCCCUGCUUUUGUGGGGUGCUCGAGUGGCGAACGGGUGAGUAACACGUGAGUAACCUGCCCUUGACUUUGGGAUAACUUCAGGAAACUGGGGCUAAUACCGGAUAGGAGCUCCUGCUGCAUGGUGGGGGCUGGAAAGUUUCGGCGGUUGGGGAUAGACUCGCGGCUUAUCAGCUUGUUGGUGGGGUAGUGGCUUACCAAGGCUUUGACGGGUAGCCGGCCUGAGAGGGUGACCGGCGACAUGGGGACUGAGAGACGGCCCAGACGCGUACGGGAGGCAGCAGUGGGGAAUAUGGCACAAUGGGCGGAAGCCUGAUGCAGCAACGCCGCGGGCGGGAUGACGGCCUUCGGGUUGUAAACCGCUUUCGGCUGUGACGAAGCGGGAGUGACGGUAAUGGGUAAAGAAGCACCGGCUAACUACGUG